GCCUGGGUGGCUCAGUGGGUUGAGCAUCUGGCUUCGGCUCAGGUCAUAAUCUCACCGUUGGUGAGUUCAAGCCCCACAUCGGGCU
rfam:Felis catus isolate Cinnamon breed Abyssinian chromosome F1, whole genome shotgun sequence.